CAAGCCUCCACCCAGGGUGCUGUAGCUGCACUUCACAUGGUGCACUGCUUUCAUUUAGCUGGUUUCCCAAAGGUCUAAUUAGUUGUGUUACGGGAAAAGGUUCGGAGAUCGGGACUUCCUUACAAUGCACCCCUAGUCAACUGUAUUAGCUUCACUGGUGGGGACACUGGAAUGCAAUUUCAAAGAAAGCAGGCAUGAUCCCUCUUCAGAUGGAAUUGGGUGGAAAGGAUGCUUGUAUCAUUCUCGAAGAUGCUGAUUUGGAUUUGGCAGCUUCUAACAUCGUGAAAGGAGGCUUUUCUUACAGUGGUCAAGGUGCACAGCCGUGAAGGUUGUGCUGGUCAUGGAAUCCGUGGCUAAUGCUCUCGUCGAGAAGUUAAAGCUAAAGUCGCGAAAUGACUGUUGGCCCACCAGAAUAUGAUUGUGACAUCACUCCAGUUGUCACAGAAUCCUCUGCUAAUUUCAUUGAAGAUUGGUAAUGGAUGCCAAACAGAAAGGGGCUACAUUUUGCCAAGAGUACAGGAGAGAGGCAACCUUAUAUGGCCAUUGUUAUUAGACGCAUUCGUCCCGAUAUGCGAAUAGCUUGGGAGGAGCCAUUUGGUCCCGUUUUGCCUGUUAUAAGAAUUACCUCAGUUGAAGAAGGAAUUCAUCAUUGUAACGCUAGCAAUUUCGGU